GGGCGUUUAGCACAGUGGUAGCGCGCAUGCUUUGCACACAUUGUGUGAAUAUUGCAUGAGGUCGAGGGUUCAAGCCCCUCAACGUCCA